GCUUUUGGGAUGGAGGUGUGUUUUGGUAUUAUAAUGAUAUUAUAAUGAGCAAAAGUACACUAGAGUAUAGCAUUUGUCAAAACAUGACAGGUCAUUGGCUCAGGGUAGCAAAGAGUGUGGCUUAUCAGUCUUGGUGUGCACAAGAACAAUUGAGUCCCCACCUGGUCACAGAGCCUAGCCAUGGUGUCUCCACUCCACUCUAUGCUCCGUGCUGUUCCUUAGAGCCAGCACACCAGGUUCCCCCAGCACGAUAGCAUCUGAGGUUGGAAGCCUAGGGAACGCUCAGGUAAUGCAGCUACGUCCUACCCUGAAAGCCUUUUCAAUGCUGUACAUUUUCUUUAAAAUGUGAAUGUUAGUUUUAUUUUCCUAGUUACUUCAGGCAUUUACAGCUU